UGGUUAACCGUCUCGAGUCUCUGGUUGACGACCGCGUUAAAAGUUUAUUGGACACGAGUAUCGAAUUCUUCCUUUUUCUUCUUUUCUCUUUCUUCUUUUGUUAGACGAUUUAAUUUGGCCUUGGAUUUCUAUGGCAUCAAUGAAUCGUUCCCCGGUCUCAUUCCGAGAAUACGUCCUUUCGUCUUGCCUCCUGAAGCCCUAAUUCAAGCUUCCAGACUGUCAUCAAUGAAUAGCGGCCUUUUACGCUUGUAGAAUGUCGAUCCUUGCGUCGACAUUUCUUCUUCGUCUGUUGACUCCUCGUCCUCCUCGUCUUCAUUUAAUGAUUGUUGUUUAUCAAAAUGUUCCUUUUUGUAAGUUUCGUAAUCUGACUAUUAUAAACAAUAAAGAAAUCAAUUAGUAAUGAAAAUAAAAGAAAUUACAAAAUAUUGAUAAUUAAAUAUGUACCAUUAGAGUCUUCCCUCUAUCGUUGGUUGGAUAAUGAGUGGACAUAAAAGAUUCUGUAAAUGAAGCUGGUCGACCGAGU
rnacentral:lncRNA from 1 species